GCAGAGUAGCUCAGUUAGGUAGAGCACGAUUAUUUCUUCAUCUUUUGUUGCAACGUGCGCCCCUUUCGGGUGAAUGCUGGCUGGUUUACAGGUAGAGCAACGGCUGAAACCGUAGGUCUCGGGUUCAAAUCCCGAUGGCGUGCA
rnacentral:tRNA from 2 species